CGCAAGGUUAAAACUCAAAUGAAUUGACGGGGGCCCGCACAAGCGGUGGAGCAUGUGGUUUAAUUCGAUGCAACGCGAAGAACCUUACCUACUCUUGACAUCCAGAGAACUUACCAGAGAUGCUUUGGUGCCUUCGGGAACUCUGAGACAGGUGCUGCAUGGCUGUCGUCAGCUCGUGUUGUGAAAUGUUGGGUUAAGUCCCGCAACGAGCGCAACCCUUAUCCUUUGUUGCCAGCGGUUAGGCCGGGAACUCAAAGGAGACUGCCAGUGAUAAACUGGAGGAAGGUGGGGAUGACGUCAAGUCAUCAUGGCCCUUACGAGUAGGGCUACACACGUGCUACAAUGGCGCAUACAAAGAGAAGCGACCUCGCGAGAGCAAGCGGACCUCAUAAAGUGCGUCGUAGUCCGGAUUGGAGUCUGCAACUCGACUCCAUGAAGUCGGAAUCGCUAGUAAUCGUGGAUCAGAAUGCCACGGUGAAUACGUUCCCGGGCCUUGUACACACCGCCCGUCACACCAUGGGAGUGGGUUGCAAAAGAAGUAGGUAGCUUAACCUUCGGGAGGGCGCUUACCACUUUGUGAUUCAUGACUGGGGUGAAGUCGUAACAAGGUAACCGCCCCCUGGGCUCCCAACGAUUUCUCACCUGAGAAGUCAGGCUUUGG
rnacentral:rRNA from 1 species